rnacentral:rRNA from 1 species
AGCCGGUCUCGCGAAUGCUUAGAUUAAGUUUGAUCAUGGCUCAGACCGAAGCGCGUUACGGCAGGCCUAACACAUGCAAGUCGAGCGGAUGACGGGAGCUUGCUCCUUGAUUCAGCGGCGGACGGGUGAGUAAUGCCUAGGAAUCUGCCUGGUAGUGGGGGACAACGUUUCGAAAGGAACGCUAAUACCGCAUACGUCCUACGGGAGAAAGCAGGGGACCUUCGGGCCUUGCGCUAUCAGAUGAGCCUAGGUCGGAUUAGCUAGUUGGUGAGGUAAUGGCUCACCAAGGCGACGAUCCGUAACUGGUCUGAGAGGAUGAUCAGUCACACUGGAACUGAGACACGGUCCAGACUCCUACGGGAGUGCAGCAGUGGGGAAUAUUGGACAAUGGGCUGAAAGGCCUUGAAUUUUCCCCACCCNAAAUGGGAANNCCCNUGCCCGAAAAAAGUGUUUUNGGGGAAGACACACAANAGACCCCCCAUUAGUGAGGAGCAAAUCACNCCAAUGAUAGAGANAGAAAAGUAUUUUUUUUGGGGAGUUUUUUGGGGGUGANAANUAAUUUUUUUACAGGGGNAGUGUAUAAAAAAUAGUGAAAAAA